rnacentral:rRNA from 1 species
UACGAAGGGGGGCUAGCGUUGCUCGGAUUGACUGGGCGUAAAGGGCGCGUAGGCGGUUCGUACAGUCAGACGUGAAAUUCCUGGGCUCAACCUGGGGGCUGCGUUUGAUACGUGCGGACUUGAGUGCGGAAGAGGGUCGUUGGAAUUCCCAGUGUAGAGGUGAAAUUCGUAGAUAUUGGAAGAACACCAGUGGCGAAGGCGACUUACUGGACACAUAUUGACGCUGGAGGUGCGAAAGCGUGGGGAGCAAACAGG